GAUGAACGCUGGCGGCGUGCCUAAUACAUGCAAGUCGAGCGAACAGACGAGGAGCUUGCGCCUUCGACGUUAGCGGCGGACGGGUGAUUAACACGUAGUUAACAUACCUAUAAGACUGGGAUAACUACGGGAAACCGGAGCUAAGAACGGAGAAUAUUUCGAACCGCAUGGUUCGAUAGUGAAAGAUGGCUUUGCUAACACUAAUAGAUGGACAUGCGCCGUACUAGCUAGUUGGUAAGGUAACGGCGUACCAAGGCAACGAUGCUUAGCCGACCUGAGAGGGUGGUCGGCUACCCUGGAACUGAGACACGGUCCAGACUCCUGCGGGAGGCCGCAGUCGGGACUCUUACGCAAUGCGGGAGAGCCUAACGGUGCACAGCCGCGUGAGUGAUGAUGGUGUUCGGAUCGUAGAACGCUGUUAUUAGUGAAGAAGUAACGUGCAAGUAACUGGGAACAUAAUGACGGUACCUAAUCAGAAAGCCCCGGCUAACUACGUG
rnacentral:rRNA from 1 species